CUUCAUGGAGAGUUUGAUCCUGGCUCAGGACGAACGCUGGCGGCGUGCCUAAUACAUGCAAGUCGAGCGGACAGAUGGGAGCUUGCUC
rnacentral:rRNA from 1 species